CAUGCCUUGUCCAGCUACUCUCUGUGAUCCCCUGUCCUGAGAACAGCCACAGUGGCCCUGUCUACACUAGUUUUCAUUUUUGGUAACGUUGGCUGAAACAGUGGCUGCUUACACAGGCACAGUGAAGUGCAGCCUGCAGGAGACACUCGAUGACCUAAGAAGAACAACCCACCUACCAGAAAUAUCCAGAUGAUUCAGACUGAAUACCACUGCCUAAAGUUGGAC